UCUUAUGAUGAUUUAACUUGGAAUCUCGUUCGUCUGAAGCCCUGCUGAGAAUUAUUACUUCUGAUGAUG